rnacentral:rRNA from 1 species
ACGGGGUGCAGCAGGCGCGAAACCUUUACACUGCACGCACGUGCGAUAAGGGGACUCCAAGUGCGAGGGCAUACAGUCCUCGCUUUUCUCGACCGUAAGGAGGUCGAGGAAUAAGAGCUGGGCAAGACCGGUGCCAGCCGCCGCGGUAAUACCGGCAGCUCGAGUGAUGGCCGAUUUUAUUGGGCCUAAAGCGUCCGUAGCCGGCCACGAAGGUCCGUCGGGAAAUCCAUCCGCUUAACGGAUGGGCGUCCGGCGGAAACCACGUGGCUUGGGGCCAGAAGGCUCAGGGGGUACGUCCGGGGUAGGAGUGAAAUCCUGUAAUCCUGGACGGACCACCGAUGGCGAAAGCACCCUGAGAGAAUGGACCCGACGGUGAGGGACGAAAGCUAGGGUCUCGAACCGGAUUAGAUACCCGGGUAGUCCUAGCCGUAAACGAUGAUCGCUAGGUGUGACGCAGGCUACGUGCCUGCGUUGUGCCGUAGGGAAGCCGUGAAGCGAUCCGCCUGGGAAGUACGUCCGCAAGGAUGAAACUUAAAGGAAUUGGCGGGGGAGCAC